rnacentral:lncRNA from 1 species
UGCAGCCCUUGUCUCCAAAUUCAAUUACAGCAUGUGUGCUUUCUACCAGGCCUUGACAUGUGUUGCUGCUGUAUGCACCUCCCUUUUUACUGAAUCAGCACCCCCACUUUUCUUUAAUCUCAAAUGUGCCCUCAAAUAUUAAUUUCCCAAGGCCUUGCUAAAUGCUCUCCAAGCCCAAAUAAAAAUGAAAUGCAAGUGGGUGGUGG